rnacentral:rRNA from 1 species
UAUUGGGGUUGCGGACAUAUCACAACGGAGAGGUAUCGUAAUUGAAGAGGUUUGGAAAGACCCACCACAGAAGGUAAUAGUCCUGUAUGUUAAAUGAGAAGACUUUAGAUAUGAUCCAGAGUACCACUGGACACGUGAAACCCUGUGGGAAUCAGGAGGGACCACCCUCCAAGGCUAAAUACUACCUAGUGACCGAUAGCGUAUAGUACCGUGCGGGAAAGGUGAAAAGAACC